AUGCGGCGGGCAGGGCACAAACCGAUGUCUGGGAACUCGGGGGGGUCCCGGAGGGCAGCGGCCGGGCUGGGGCGGGCAGCAGGGAGCCGGGACCGGGGGGAAGCUCACGCCCCCCGGCUCGCUGUCCCGGGGAGGCAGCCCCCUGACCCCGUCCCCGUCCCGGGGGGGAGCGCCGGAGCGGCCGAGGAGCCGGGGCAGGUGGCGGCUGCCCGGAGCGGGGCUGAACCGGGACCGUACCGGGUCCGUGCGGGGCCCCGUGCCCGCGGUCUCUUUAAAAGCCGGGGCCGGGCGGGGCCGGGCCGGGCUGGGGGCGGCGGCGGCGUGCGCGGGGCUCGGGCUGCUCCGGCACCGCGGCGCGCUCAGCCCUGCGCAGCUCCGCCCGCGGCUCGCACGGCUCGGCUCGGCUCGGCUCGGCUCGGCUCGGCACGGCCAGCCCAGCCUCCCCGGGACCCCCCGAGCCUCCUCGGCUGGGGCCACGCUGGAGCCCCCCGCCCCGCAGCGGAGGCGAGCCGCGAGUUGGCUGCGGAGCUUCGUCCAAGGCUCCAGAGUUUACCUGUCUUGAGAGAAGCAGAAUGUGGUUUACCUCCCUGAUCAGUUUUCCUUUGCCGUCUCCUCUCUUGUAACAGGCUCUGGGUGUUCAGGGGAAGGUGUGAACGCUGGCUGAACUGUGAUGUGCUGUGUCAAGGAUAAGGACACACGGUGGUCUGGCCAAGAACAAAAUGCUACAGCCAGGAACUUUGUGAUGACCAAAAACCAGGAAAAGAGAUGACUUCUGACAGUGAUUCAAGAGGCACGGUGUUUAAAUUAAAAACAAAAAGCGUCUAACUUUGUCUGCCCCUGCUCCCACCAGCAUGAUAAGGAGACAGGCUUUAUUUUGGGACUAUUGCCAACGCAGCUGGAGCCAGAAAUUACCCCAAUUUUGGUUAAGCUUUGAAAAAUUCUAUCAGUUCUCUUCUCCCCCUCAUCCUCCUCUUCUAGUUAAUAGCAGUCUGUCAAUCUAGCAUAGUCAGCUCUUAAUUCAUACAGCAAGUGCUGAGGAGAAUAUUUUGCAUUUUGGAAGCCAAGAUGAUAGUGGGAUUGUUGGUUGCUUGAAACCAGCACUCUACAGUGUCUUGGUCAGGUAAUUUGCUUUCUCCUUCCUUUGGUUUAUCCUCACACCAUCAUAGACCGAGACAUUUCACAUGUGUAAAGGACUUUGAGCAUCAGAGAUGAUGUUUUGACCUCUCAGCACCAAUCAAGGCAGCCAAAACAAGACACGUCUGUAGAAAGGCAGCAUGGGAGAAGUUUGUUCUUCCUUUCUCCUUGUUGUGGGCAGUGGAUGGCAUCUUUAGUGCUCCGUAUUUGUACUGGCUUUUAUUGUUUUGGCAAGGAAAAGCCAUAACUUCGGGCUUGGCUAGCCUGACCAUGGUUUUACUGAGGUCUGUGAGGGAUGAAACGCUGUGUCCCUGUAGCGCUGUGCUCGAGAAGCUGGGCGGUUGGACUCCUGGUGGAGAUAUGCCAGUGGUGUUGGAAGAUCUUGAGUUUCUUAAGAGAAGGUGGGGAUGCAAUGUCUUGCUUUGCCAUUCAGAGAAAAAUGCUCUCUCUCAGCACU
ensembl:lncRNA